GCCGAACCGAGCGAACGUUGUUCGGAAUCACUGGGCUUAAAGGGCGCGUAGGCGGGUGAUCAAGUCCGGGGUGAAAUCCUCCAGCUCAACUGGAGAACUGCCUCGGAUACUGGUUGCCUCGAGGAAGGUAGGGGUGUGUGGAACGUUCAGUGGAGCGGUGAAAUGCAUUGAUAUUGAACGGAACUCCGGUGGCGAAGGCGACACACUGGACCUUUUCUGACGCUGAGGCGCGAAAGCUAGGGGAGCAAACAGG
rnacentral:rRNA from 1 species